CCGUGGUGAAGAGGUAUGGCUUGGUCUAGAAUAUGGUAGGACGGCCACGAAAGACGGCCACGCCGCUAUUGGUCAAUUUCUCAGCAAGCUCCACGCUGCUAUUGGUCGGGGUAUCAGCUGCUGCAGUGAGGGGUAGCUAGCGGUGGGGAGGGCUGCCGGCGUUUAUCCACAACUUUUAGGGGCAAAAAAACGUCAACCUUUACGACUAUAAUCACUCCACUUCGGUGGAUAAGCCACAAACAGUCAUUUGUGCGGCUCUUAGCUCUGGAAACCUUACAGGGCAUUUGCCAGAAAGGAGAAACUGAUUGCACAGCAGGAAAUGGAGAUGUCAAUGCAUUAAAUUCUGGAAUUGUUGGAAGUGCCA